rnacentral:rRNA from 1 species
UACGUAGGGUGCAAGCGUUGUCCGGAAUUAUUGGGCGUAAAGAGCUCGUAGGCGGUCUGUCGCGUCGGCUGUGAAAACCCGAGGCUCAACCUCGGGCCUGCAGUCGAUACGGGCAAACUAGAGUACUGCAGGGGAGACUGGAAUUCCUGGUGUAGCGGUGAAAUGCGCAGAUAUCAGGAGGAACACCGGUGGCGAAGGCGGGUCUCUGGGCAACUACUGACGCUGAGGAGCGAAAGCGUGGGGAGCGAACAGG